AUGUUCUGGGCGUCCAUCGUUAGCCUUCUAGCAAUGUGGUGCGCAGGGUCGUACUCUCAGCCUGUGCUGUCUCAGCCACCGUCAGCAUCAGUCUCACUGAGGAACACAGUGAAACUCUCCUGCACUGGGCUCAGUGGCGCUACUGUAUACUGGUGCCAGCAGAAGCCUGGGAAUCCCCCAAGAUACCUCUUAUAUUAUUAUUCAGAUUCCAGCAAGGGCCAGGCGUCUGGACUCCCCUCUCGUUUCUCUGGGUCCAAAGACACGUCUGGAAACACCGCCUAUUUAACCAUCACGGGAGCCCUGGCAGAAGACGAGGCUGAUUAUUACUGUGUUGUAGCUUAUCAGUGGUAG